CAGCAUCACUGAGAGGCGUAAGAGGGAGCUGAGCAUGGAGAUCAGAGCUCCCUUGCGCGCUUGCAUUGACCACAGGCCCAGCCGCUCAGCAGAAUAAGAAGUAAAAACAAUAGAAGGUAGUCCAGGCGUACUGCUCUAUGGAUAGGGCGUGGGUGAAAUAAUCCCCACCAAGGAUAUAUCUUGAAAGUGAUGUUCACUGGAGAUAAAAAUCAGGUGCCAGGC